AGUUGGCAAACACCACUGAGCACUGCCUGCAGUUGGGGGAGGUGCUGACUUGUGAAACCUUUGUUUCAGUUCAUGUGCCUGUGGACUGGGUCAAGGUGUAAAUAUAUUUCUUACCGUGGAAACUGGUAAAAUCUGCCAGCCAUCGGUUCUAGGAAAUGGAUUUGAGCUGUUUGCUUUGUUUUUCUAAGAACAGCACCACCAGUCAGACUGACAGUAUCAUCUAUCUCUAUCUUAGUCGGGAUGGAUUUGGUAAGAUACCACUCCCUCACCUGUGAGAGACUCCAACUUGCCGGCUGUCCAAGGAAGACAAAAUGGAGCAUUGCCCCACGGCCCAGUAAGGGAGAUUCCUGUUAUGCAUGCCUGCCAAUUCUUAAGAUGAUGAGCACUGGAUUUGAUUAGAAGCGGGUUUUCUCACACAUAACCCCGCCCACCAGCCAGCCAAACUGCAGAUGAGCACCAUGUAUGCCAAACAAAUGUUGUUGGCAGAGGAUGAGCAAGGCUUUGUCCAACCCUCCUCUACGGGCAGUGAGAAUGAGACACCAAGAGCCAGAGGAUGGCAGGACAGCUGCUGACACCGAGGUCCCCUGAGUUCAGCCCAGAGGCAUUCUCCUACCUUACCCAUGGCCCCCUCCAGCCAUGUGAUAGUAGCAGGAAAAUUCGUACACUUGUCAGAACCUGAAGACUAGAAGAGACAAAGGAAAUGCCGAGGUCAGCAAGAAUUCUGCAGCUGACGCUGGGCCAGCAAUGGAUGAGGCCCUCGGAGCAUGGGUGUCAGAGGGGAGCAUCUUCCAAUGAGAUCGAAUUUCUUACUUCACUGCAAGAGGACCGUUUUCUGAAUGGGUCCUAUCUGUGAGCAGGUGCACAGAUAGGGAACUUGUUGAAAUGUCUGUGGGAACCGAUACGAGAAUGAGGGAGGGAGUGAAUGAGUUGCAUAGGACUGCUUCGGAUAUAAACUAACCUUUCUCCCGGUUUGCUUCAGUGUUAAGUAACCUGUUGAAUGUCUUUCUUAAAUGAGAUGAAGCCCAGAAUCCAGGGAUCUGUUUCAAGCACGGUGGAUUUCUCCACAUCACUCACAAGAACUGGCUUCGCCUCGCCUGUGUCCCCGCUCUCAUUACUGGAACGCCAGCCCUGCAUGGGGAGGGGGAAGGGGGGCUGCCACUCCUUUGCCCUCAGCAUCACUGGUGCAGCUGGGCUGGGGCAGGAAGUGGUGGACAGAGGAUGCUUCCCUGCCGCUGUGGGGCUGUCUGCAAACCACCUCCGCAUACACGCAGCUUCUGCAGCUGGACUGGGUUGCAGGCUUUUGGGCUGCGGACAGAUGCCAGGACCAAUGUCAACACCAUGAUGCAAACACUGAAAACAAACGGGAGAAAGUGUGUUUUGCAUCCAGGUCCUGGUUUCACGGUCGUAUUUGCUGACCCAGCACAUCACUCUCGCUGAAUCUUAAUGAAAAUAUUUUGGACAUAGGUGCUUUCGUUAAAGUGACUUCAGAGCAUCGUUGAUCCAGGUUCUCAGUGGGACACGGUGCUGCCUCCCGUGGCUGUGGACUGGCCAGUGUCAAAGCAAUGCCACAUUUCACUUUUUUCUGCUACAUCUCCUUGCUCUGCCAGCUUUAUUUUUAUUUUACAAGACAGCACAAUGUCUUGGUGGAGGUUUGGUGCUGGAAGCCCAUCCGGAUCCCGGCUUCUCCACCCAGAUGCUGAAGCCCCUCCACCCUGUCAUGUUCCUUUCUCAUCUGGCAUUCCAGGGAUCCCACGUGAGCCCAGCUCUUGGUCCUCUGCUCUGGACAUUUGUCUGUGAUAACAUGGCUACAUCUGCUUUUCCCCCAGAGGCUCCAUGGUAGCCCUUACCUGAUCUUCAGAUUUGAGACCUAAUUUUCUGGAAAGAUAUCACUCAAGAUCUUGAACCAGGAGGAAUGGAACUUUCACUGCUCUCUGAACCGCUAUAUUGCUGCAAAACUACAUGUAGUACAACCUUGGGUUUAUGUUUCACAAUUAAAAAAAUUAUAAGCCUUACUCUGAAUGGAAAUCCAUUCUAGUGGGAGACCUUAAACCAGGGUUCCAUGAAAGCCCCCAGAAGCAGAUGACACUGCAAAGGAGACUGCUUUCACAAGACUCUCAGAACAGGUACCAGGCUAAUCACAACAUUAUUUGAUCCUUCCCUGGUGACGUGGAUACCAUAACCAUCUCCAUAUUAUGGAUGAGGAUAAUGAAGCUCAGAAAGGUUAACAGGAACUUGCGGGCCAGAGAGCAACUGGAACUCCCAUUCAUACAUUGUCCGUGGGAAUAUCAAUUGGUACAACUGCCUUUGGAAACAGUUUGGCAUUUUUUAUAAGGUUAAACAUACACUUACCAUAAACCCUAGCAUUUGCUCUUUGAGGCAUUGGUUCUCUCCAAGAAAAGUGAAAACCACUAGUGUUCAUAAUAGUAUUAGGCACAGUAGCACCACACUGGAGACAACCCGACCCAUUUUCCCAUCAGUAAGUGAAUGGAUAAACAAGUUGGGACAUAGCCUUACAAUAGGUCACCACUUUGCCGUAAAAAGGAACUGACUACUGAUAUACGAAACCACUAGGGAUGAAUUGUGAAGUCAUUAUCUUAAGAGAAGGAAGCCAGACACAGAGAGAGCACAGACAGCAUGAUUGUUUAUAACAAACUCUUGAAAAGACAAAUCUAAUCUAUAGUGACAGAAAUCAGAUCAGGAGCUAAGUGUACACAUUCGUCACACAUAGGAACAUUUUGUUGUAUGUAAAUUAUAUUUCAAUGAAGUUGAUAUAAAUUUAGGGGAGCCUGGGUGGCGCAGUCCUUUGAGCCUCCGGCUCUUGGUUUCAGCUCAAGCGGUGAUCUCAGGGUCCUGAG